CAGAGUGAGAGCCUGUCUCCUGGAAGAAGAUUCUCACUGUCCUAAAAAUAGAGCACAUUGCAGGAGAGAUGUUGCUGAGACCACAGAGAUGGGCAAGGUCACACUUCGAACAAGUCUGCUUAGAUCAUAUUUAUCCAGCAUCAGAAAAGCUUCCUGCUGCAGCAGAUGGGAACAAAUCCAGAGACCCAUAGCCAGACAUUACACAGAACGUGAGACCUUGGAACACUCAGCUCUAAAUGGGACAUCUCCAUCAAAUCCCUCCCCUCCUAGCUCCAGUUACCCCAUGAAAGAGAAUGAAGAAAGAGUGGAAGAGUCUGGAGAGAUGGAGGACACCAGGAGGACACCAGGAGGACAAGACCAUCUGAAUCAACUGAGCAAAGCUCAUAUGAAUUCAGAUCCUGCAGCAGCAAGCACAGGGCCUGCACAGCUCCGCACCAGGUCCUCUGUGUUAUCUAUUACAGCUUUCAGUUUAGCAUUUUUAUCAGA